GAUGAACGCUGGCGGCGUGCCUAAUACAUGCAAGUCGAGCGAACGGACGAGAAGCUUGCUUCUCUGAUGUUAGCGGCGGACGGGUGAGUAACACGUGGAUAACCUACCUAUAAGACUGGGAUAACCUCGGGAAACCGGAGCUAAUACCGGAUAAUAUUUUGAACCGCAUGGUUCAAAAGUAAAAGACGGUCUUGCUGUCACUUAUAGAUGGAUCCGCGCUGCAUUAGCUAGUUGGUAAGGUAACGGCUUACCAAGGCAACGAUGCAUAGCCGACCUGAGAGGGUAAUAGGCCACACUGGAACGGAGACACGGUCAAGACUCCUACGGGAGGCAGCAGUAGGGAAUCUUCCGCAAUGGGCGAAAGCCUGACGGAGCAACGCCGCGUGAGUGAUGAAGGUCUUCGGAUCGUAAAACUCUGUUAUUAGGGAAGAACAUAUGUGUAAGUAACUGUGCACAUCUUGACGGUACCUAAUCAGAAAGCCCCGGCUAACUACGUG
rnacentral:rRNA from 1 species